CUUAGCUCCUGGAUCUUGGUACUUCCUGGUGGAAAACAUUGUUAGUCUUUGUCUUGGCCAUUAUACUCAUUGGCAUAUUCCUGUGCUGUGGCAUUUAUUGCUGCAUCAAUAUGGUUCCAGUACUAAUGAAUUCUUGUUUCUCUUAUAGACCACCUAUCACUCGAAUGGCCCUCCAGCCUAUUACUUCUCAAUUGGACUUUUAUCAUGAACCACUCGAUAGACCCGAUUUUUAAAGGGGGACUCCAAACUGCUUGCCCCACACCUUCCCUUUUCAGCCUGAAGAAGCCAGAAAGUUCCUCUUCACCCCCCUUCCUUACAGCAAUAAGGAGUUCCCAAAUUAGAGGGGGGAAAUGAAGCCAGAUUUAAAGUUAGGUAGUCAGUGUAGUUAGAUAAAUCGGGGUCUAAUACCGAGUGGAAUCUAAAAUGGAGGCCAUGCUGAAAAUGA
rnacentral:lncRNA from 1 species